rnacentral:misc_RNA from 1 species
UCGCGGCUUAUCACCGGCAGUCCCCCGAGAGUCCUCAGCGUUUUGCAACCUGUUAGCAACACGGGGCGGGGGUUGCGCUCGUUGCGGGACUUAACCCAACAUCUCACGACACGAGCUGACGACAGCCAUGCAGCACCUGUGCUGGAGCUCCGAAGAGGGGCCAAUGUUUCCAUCAGCUUUCCCCAGCAUGUCAAGCCUAGGUAAGGUUCUGCGCGUUGCGUCGAAUUAAACCACAUGCUCCACCGCUUGUGCGGGCCCCCGUCAAUUCCUUUGAGUUUCAGCCUUGCGGCCGUACUCCCCAGGCGGGGCACUUCAUGCGUUAGCGCCGGUACCCCGGGGGUCGCUCCCCAGAGCACCUAGUGCCCAUCGUUUACGGCGUGGACUAC